UGGGGAAUAUUGCACAAUGGGGGAAACCCUGAUGCAGCCAUGCCGCGUGUGUGAAGAAGGCCUUCGGGUUGUAAAGCACUUUCAGUAGGGAGGAAAGGUUGUAAGUUAAUACCUUGCAGCUGUGACGUUACCUACAGAAGAAGGUCCGGCUAACUCCGUGCCAGCAGCCGCGGUAAUACGGAGGGUCCAAGCGUUAAUCGGAAUUACUGGGCGUAAAGCGUGCGCAGGCGGUUUGUUAAGCGAGAUGUGAAAGCCCCGGGCUCAACCUGGGAAUUGCAUUUCGAACUGGCAAACUAGAGUCUUGUAGAGGGGGGUAGAAUUCCAGGUGUAGCGGUGAAAUGCGUAGAGAUCUGGAGGAAUACCGGUGGCGAAGGCGGCCCCCUGGACAAAGACUGACGCUCAGGCACGAAAGCGUGGGGAGCAAACAGG
rnacentral:rRNA from 1 species